rnacentral:rRNA from 1 species
CAAAGGAGUUUGAUUCGGGCUCCGGCCCGAUCCUCCCACCCUUUGUGUACCUACCUCUGUUGCUUUGGCGGGCCGCGGUCCUCCGCGGCCGCCCCCCUCCCCGGGGGGGUGGCCAGCGCCCGCCAGAGGACCAUCAAACUCCAGUCAGUAAACGAUGCAGUCUGAAAAACAUUUAAUAAACUAAAACUUUCAACAACGGAUCUCUUGGUUCUGGCAUCGAUGAAGAACGCAGCGAAAUGCGAUAAGUAAUGUGAAUUGCAGAAUUCAGUGAAUCAUCGAAUCUUUGAACGCACAUUGCGCCCUUUGGUAUUCCGAAGGGCAUGCCUGUUCGAGCGUCAUUACAACCCUCAAGCUCUGCUUGGUAUUGGGCACCGUCCUUUGCGGGCGCGCCUCAAAGACCUCGGCGGUGGCGUCUUGCCUCAAGCGUAGUAGAACAUACAUCUCGCUUCGGAGCGCAGGGCGUCGCCCGCCGGACGAACCUUCUGAACUUUUCUCAAGGUUGACCUCGGAUCAGGUAGGGAUACCCGCUGAACUUAAGCAUAUCAAUAAGCGGAGGAA